AAGGGAGCUUGCUCCCGGAAGUCAGCGGCGGACGGGUGAGUAACACGUGGGUAACCUGCCCGGCAGAUUGGGAUAACUCCGGGAAACCGGGGCUAAUACCGGAUAACAUUGGAAACUGCAUGGUUUUUGUUUGAAAGGCGGCUUCGGCUGCCACUGCCAGAUGGGCCCGCGGCGCAUUAGCUAGUUGGUGAGGUAACGGCUCACCAAGGCGACGAUGCGUAGCCGACCUGAGAGGGUGAUCGGCCACACUGGGACUGAGACACGGCCCAGACUCCUACGGGAGGCAGCAGUAGGGAAUCUUCCGCAAUGGACGAAAGUCUGACGGAGCAACGCCGCGUGAGUGAAGAAGGUUUUCGGAUCGUAAAACUCUGUUGUCAGGGAAGAACAAGUACGGUAGUAACUGCCCGUACCUUGACGGUACCUGGCCAGAAAGCCACGGCUAACUACGUGCCAGCAGCCGCGGUAAUACGUAGGUGGCAAGCGUUGUCCGGAAUUAUUGGGCGUAAAGCGCGCGCAGGCGGCCUUUUAAGUCUGAUGUGAAAGCCCCCGGCUCAACCGGGGAGGGUCAUUGGAAACUGGAAGGCUUGAGUGCAGAAGAGAAGAGCGGAAUUCCACGUGUAGCGGUGAAAUGCGUAGAGAUGUGGAGGAACACCAGUGGCGAAGGCGGCUCUUUGGUCUGUAACUGACGCUGAGGCGCGAAAGCGUGGGGAGCGAACAGGAUUAGAUACCCUGGUAGUCCACGCCGU
rnacentral:rRNA from 1 species